rnacentral:rRNA from 1 species
GACGAACGCUGGCGGCGUGCCUAACACAUGCAAGUCGAGCGAAUGAAGUUCCUUCGGGAAUGGAUUUAGCGGCGGACGGGUGAGUAACACGUGGGCAACCUGCCUCAUAGAGGGGAAUAGCCUUCCGAAAGGGACAUUAAUACCGCAUAAGAUUGUAGUACCGCAUGAUACAGCAAUUAAAGGAGCAAUCCGCUAUGAGAUGGGCCCGGGGCGCAUUAGCUAGUUGGUGAGGUAAUGGCUCACCAAGGCAACGAUGCGUAGCCGACCUGAGAGGGUGAUCGGCCACAUUGGGACUGAGACACGGCCCAGACUCCUACGGGAGGCAGCAGUGGGGAAUAUUGCACAAUGGGGGAAACCCUGAUGCAGCAACGCCGCGUGAGUGAUGACGGCCUUCGGGUUGUAAAGCUCUGUCUUCAGGGACGAUAAUGACGGUACCUGAGGAGGAAGCCACGGCUAACUACGUGCCAGCCGCCGCGGUAACAC